rnacentral:tRNA from 1 species
UGGGGCUGGGGCUCAGUGGUAGAGUGCUCGCCUAGCACAUGUGAGGCUCUGGGUUCAACCCUCAGCACCACAA